AGGUAUCACUCCGCCAGAAAAGUAGAGACUUGUGUAUGUGUUUCAUGUUUCCAACAAAGACUUUUGCUGAUGAGGUAUCACUCCGCCAGAAAAGUAGAGACCUGUGUAUGUGUUUCAUGUUUCCAACAAAGACUUUUGCUGAUGAGGUAUCACUCCGCCAGAAAAGUAGAGACCUGUGUCUGUGUUUCAUGUUUCCAACAAAGGUAUCACUCCGCCAGAAAAGUAGAGACCUGUGUAUGUGUUUCAUGUUUCCAACA